UAACGCGUGAGCAACCUGCCCUUCGGAGGGGGAUAGUGUCUGGAAACGGACAGUAAUACCGCAUAACGUAUUUUUACCGCAUGAUAGAAAUACCAAAACUGAGGUGCCGAAGGAUGGGCUCGCGUUGGAUUAGAUAGUUGGUGGGGUAACGGCCUACCAAGUCAACGAUCCAUAGCCGGACUGAGAGGUUGAACGGCCACAUUGGGACUGAGACACGGCCCAGACUCCUACGGGAGGCAGCAGUGGGGAAUAUUGCACAAUGGGGGAAACCCUGAUGCAGCAACGCCGCGUGAAGGAAGACGGUUUUCGGAUUGUAAACUUCUGUUCUUAGUGAAGAAAAAUGACGGUAGCUAAGGAGCAAGCCACGGCUAACUACGUGCCAGCAGCCGCGGUAAUACGUAGGUGGCAAGCGUUGUCCGGAAUUACUGGGUGUAAAGGGAGCGCAGGCGGGAAGCCAAGUCAGCUGUGAAAACUACGGGCUUAACUUGUAGACUGCAGUUGAAACUGGUUUUCUUGAGUGAAGUAGAGGUUGGCGGAAUUCCGAGUGUAGCGGUGAAAUGCGUAGAUAUUCGGAGGAACACCGGUGGCGAAGGCGGCCAACUGGGCUUUAACUGACGCUGAGGCUCGAAAGUGUGGGGAGCAAACAGGAUUAGAUACCCUGGUAGUCCACACUGUAAACGAUGAUAACUAGGUGUGGGGGGU
rnacentral:rRNA from 1 species